rnacentral:lncRNA from 1 species
UUUAUCUCCUGCUGAAGAACAGCAGUAGGCUGGCUUUGGGCCUGAGAAUGAGAGAGAUGUUGGUUUUCAUCACCUUGAAGAAAGGUCUGUGGAGGCUGAGGCUGAGGCUGAGGCUGCUGCAACAUCUGAGGUGGCAUGAAAUUAGCAGGCCUGUUGGGAAGAUUUUGAGUUUGUUGGAAUUGAAGAAGCGAAGCAGCCUGCGCCUUAGCAGGAUCUACGGUUCUCAUCUCCUGUAGUGCAGCAGCAGCCAUUGCUUGAUAUAUCUCCGGCUGCAGACCGACCAUAGAAGCAUCAAGCCUUGGCUGCAUCCAUGGUGCAACUCCAAUUCCAGGGAAGUUCAG